UCGUGGAGUGAUUUGUCUGGUUGAUUCCGAUAACGAACGAGACCCCCGCCUGCUAACUAGGUGGUUCUAUCUUCGGAUAGUCCGCCUUCUUAGAGGGACAACUGGCGCAAGUCAGGGGAAGUGGGGGGCAACUACA
rnacentral:rRNA from 1 species